AUGGAUUUGCAGUAUGACAACUGUGUGUCUUUCAUUGACAGGUGUUGUGUGGGCUGGAUGCCACUUGGGACCCGUUCACUGCAUUAAGAGGAUACAGUUGUACAAAUGUGUCUUACUGGUCUUUGAGAUCAGUGAACUGUUUCUCCAGGUUGGACAUUUCAUCCAGACACUCCACUCUCCUCCGCUCACAGUCCUCCUCGUCCAUUUCUGGAACAACGUGAAAUAGAGACAGAGGAGGUGUCAGAAUCCUCCUCCUCUGAACUGGUCGCCUCCUGGUCGUGAUCUUCUACCUC